CUGGAAAUGCCAACUCCGCUCUGCGGCCGGGCCCCAGCCUAGAAGGAAACGGAAGUCCCUUCGUCUCCCGCAGGCGCACCCACCAGCCCGCCCAUCGCCCGGAGGAGCCCCGAGUCGGGGGACCGAGGUGUGUCUGACCAUUACCUGGUCUCCUGACUGGCCUCUCUAUCCCUAGGACUGGUUCCCUGCAGUACAGCCUGCAUAAGGCCAUCUCAUCUCGGAUAAAUCCUUUGAGUGUGCCAUCUGUCGCUUGCCAGGACCCUGCCUCAUACAAGCAGGACAAGGAGCCACCCUAGGACUGGGGCCAGGAUAGCGCCAUUUCCAUGGAGCCUGGGAUUCUCCUCCUCAUCAGCGGUCUAAGGAGGCUACACUCUUCACACAGAUGUGGUGGGGUGCAAGUGACUGAGUCCAGUAGAAAAGACCACACCCAAGGUAACAAUGGUAUUUCCCUACAGUCCAUUAACU